AAGUAAAGAAGUAAAAUUUACAUUUAAUUUCGACUUAAACUAAAGGAUAUUCCUCAUACUUA
rnacentral:tRNA from 1 species